AUUUUCUGAUUUGCCUUCACAGAAGAGGGAAGGAAGAAUAGCUAUUCACUGAAUGCUCUCUCAGUCUCCAGUAGUUUGUGGUUUCAAAACUUCUUUGCUGGUACAUUUUUGCCUUUAAUAUUCUGUGAUGGAUUUGUUUUCGAUUAAGUUUUCCAUCCUUCCCUUGGAUCCAGGAAAGUAUGAAGUUGAGAAGGAUGCAUCUCAAACUACUAAAGGCAACUGGUUUUGUGAUACUACAUAUUUUUGUUCUGUUUCAUUCCACUACAAAAGGUUUUCUAAUCCAUUCUGGCACCUGAGGCAUUUGAACAGUUGGUGGGAAGAACUGACACUGUGACGAAGGGAGUCUCAUUUCAGAUUUACAGUCCAAUCACUCACAAAAUCUGCCAAUUCAUUUUAUGAUUCACCUUUGGAACCAAAAUGCGAAGGCCCAUUCCAGGUGUUAUUGACUAAUUACACAGCAGUCAAGAUUAAGGAACAGGAAUCACAGAUACAACACACCAGAAUAAAGAGGGCAUCUAGACCACGAUCAGAGUCAGCACCUGCAGGACCGUUGAAACUCUGGAUUCAGCGAAAAGAUGGACAAUAAUAUGGGGUUUAUUCAGCCUAUGGUUAGGUUCCACCCUCUCAUGGGAAACCAAUUAUUACUUUAAAUUGACAUCUAUGUGGGUCAAUUUGACCUGAGCCAAAGACUGUUGGGUCUGCAUGGCCAUGCCAAGGGGAGACCGAGAAAUACCGCUCUACGGAGUUAUGACCUCAGAUUGGACUUUGAUCAAUAAUGCCACAGGUGUCGAUAUGUGGAAGGCUGGGAACACAUCUCAGUUACAGUGUAAAGAAAAUGUGAUAGAUGAAGGAAAGGGACCCAGAUUUACCCUCCAAGUUCUAAAUGGAGGACUAUUCCUAGAGGGAUGUAAGAACAAGUCAAUGGGAACCUGCAGUUUUGCUCCCCGCUUUAGAAGUUUUAAUCUGAUCAGGAUAAAUUGUACUAUUAUA